rnacentral:rRNA from 1 species
AAAGAUUAAGCCAUGCAUGUCUAAGUACAAACCUUCCUUAGUGUGAAACCGCAAACGGCUCAUUAAAUCAGUCAUAAUUUAUUAGAUGCAGAUUAUCCUUACUCGGAUAACUGUGGCAAUUCUAGAGCUAAUACGUGCCUUUUGAGCUCUGACGCCGAGGCGAAAAUUUUUUUUUCUCUCGGGGGAAGGGCGCAGUUAUUAGAAUCAUAAACCGAGGCGGGCUUCCGAGUCCGAAACCACUUGGCUAUGAUGACUCUGGAUAACGUUGCCAAGCGCUGAGGCCUCUGAGCCGGCGCUGCAUCUUUUCGAGUGACUGCCCUAUCAGCUUUCGAUUGUAGGAUAUAGGCCUACGAUGGCUGUUACGGGUAACGGGGAAUCAGGGUUCGAUUCCGGAGAGGGAGCCUGAGAAACGGCUACCACAUCUAAGGAAGGCAGCAGGCACGCAAAUUACCCAAUCCCGGCUCGGGGAGGUAGUGACGAUAAAUACCGAUGCGGGACUCAUCCGAGGCCUCGCAAUCGGAAUGAGCUCACUUUAAAAAAGUGGGCGAGGAUCGAUUGGAGGGCAAGUCUGGUGCCAGCAGCCGCGGUAAUUCCAGCUCCAAUAGCGUAUAUUAAAGUUGCUGCGGUUAAAAAGCUCGUAGUUGGAAUUUCGGUCUGUUCCGACGGGCCACUUACUCGGCCGUCCGGACCGUUCAUUCGCCUAUCACGCCCUUUCGCUUCCCGUCGAAAAAGGCAACCGCCUUCACGCACUAAAGGCUUCCUUACGGCUACAGCACUGGCGCUCCCCCGUAUCUCGAGAGCUCUCGCCAAACGGUUGAUGAGCUUUCUGAGUUGAGGGACGUUGCAAAGAGUAGUUGAACGGAGCCCGCGUCGUUGGUCGGUCCUUCGCUUCUUCGGGGUUCCAAAAGCGUUCGCGGCGGAGGCAGUGACGGACCCCUGCGGUCGGUAGUGGAUUAACCGCUCGGUUACGGAUUUGAAAUGUAAACUCUUUCGUCGGCGCUCACGGGGUGCUCUUUACCGAGUGUCCCGCGUGGCCGACGACGAUCACUUUGAAUAAAUUAAAGUGCUCAAAGCAGGCAAAAAUCUUCACGCCUGAAUAGUAAUGCAUUGAAUGAUGGAACAGGACCUCGGUUCUGACUUUAUUUUUUUCUCGGUUUUUCCCCGAACCCGAGGUAAUGAUUAACGGGAACGGUCGGGGGCAUUAGUAUUGCGGCGCGAGGGGUGAAAUCCAAUGACCGUCGCAAGACUACCUACUGCGAAAGCAUUUGCCAAGAACGCUUUCAUUAAUCAAGAACGAAAGUUAGAGGAUCGAAGGCGAUCAGAUACCGCCCUAGUUCUAACCAUAAACGAUGCCAACUAGCGAUCCGCGUACAGUCAUUCCCAAGACUGCGCGGGAAGCUCCCGGGAAACCAAAGUUUUUGGGUUCCGGGGGUAGUAUGGUUGCAAAUCUGAAACUUAAAGGAAUUGACGGAAGGGCACCACCAGGAGUGGAGCCUGCGGCUUAAUUUGACUCAACACGGGAAACCUCACUAGGCCCGGACACCGGAAGGAUUGACAGAUUGAGAGCUCUUUCUCGAUUCGGUGGUUGGUGGUGCAUGGCCGUUCUUAGUUGGUGGAGCGAUUUGUCUGGUUAAUUCCGAUAACGAACAAGACUCUGUCCUACUAACUAGUCGACGGAUCGUUUCCCGAGACGGGUUUCUCCCUGUAAGCGUUCGGUUUUAUGGCCGGUCGGCCGUGAUGGGGGUUUAUCGCCUCGGUUCGUCCCGCGUUUAUCGCGUGGGCUGACGCCGUUAUCGCGCGUCGAUGCCUUCGGAGGGCGUGGUUGUUGUCGCGGUCGCGAGAUCGUGGCGAUGAUCGCUGCCGCCGUCGUUGUCGAUGCCGUUUCGGAUAAGGCUCAUGGCGGUUUUCGCGUAAAGGGGCGGGUCGUGCGCGUCCUCAUCCGGUCGCCCUCGCUUUCGCCGGCGUUAAGGGGUACCCAACGAGGGGCGUCCGUCGUACAAUAUCUUCUUAGAGGGACCGGCGGUCUCGAACCGUACGAGAAAGAGCAAUAACAGGUCUGUGAUGCCCUUAGAUGUCCUGGGCCGCACGCGUGCUACAAUGCAGGGAGCAGCGUGCUUUCCCCCUCCGAGAGGAGUGGGUAACCCCAUGAAACCCCUUCCCGAUUGGGAUUGGGGCUUGCAAUGGUUGCCCAUGAACGAGGAAUCCCUUGUAAGCGCGAGUCAUAAGCCCGCGAUGAAUACGUCCCUGCCCUUUGUACACACCGCCCGUCGCUACUACCGAUGAAUGAUUAAGUGAGAGCGUCGGACCGGCGCCCUAGGCAUGCGCUCGUUAUCGAUACAACCGGACCGCCGCGAUUCUCCUCCCGGAUGAGUCAACGCGUUCGGCGAUCGAGUUAGCG